ACCUUGACAGCGUAGGAGUGGUCAGAACAAUGGUGUAGGGGCCUUUCCAGCAGGGCUCCAAGGACUCAGUGUUAUGUCACUUUACCCACACCACCUGUCCUGGCACAAAAGGGUCCCAGGCUGGGGCAUCCUUGGGCAACUCCUCAUGAGCACCCUUGAUCUG